UGGGUCUUGUCAGUGUAAAUGUUCAGCUCUUCAUCAAGGAGAAUUCUGUGAAACACUUGUCUGUCCUCCGAAAGACAAGUUUAAAUGCAGCACCAAGACAAGUGAAGAUUGCCAGCUGGAACCGAGACUGUGGGAAACGUGUCCCAUACUGUGUGGUGUUUGUGAAGCAUCUGUUUUUGUCUCCGAAUUCGGUUGUACUUUCGUCGGAGAGAGACCAGGAUCAUCACAGUGUUUGAAGAUGGGCAACAAAGGUUUGGACUCGUCGACUUGUUCCACAGAGGGGGGAGAGUCGGGGUGUGCCGAUUGUGUGAGUGUGGGGAAGACUUGCCCUGUCAUGUGUGGACUCUGUGAUG